CAAAACAUAGCUUAAUAAAAGCAUCUCGUUUACACCGAGAAGUUGUCUGUUGUACUCAGAUUGUUUUGA
rnacentral:tRNA from 1 species